UAGUGAGUUUGUAUCCUGGCUCAGAAUGAACGCUGGCGGCAGGCCUAACACAUGCAAGUCGAACGGGGCAUCUUCGGGUGCUAGUGGCGGACGGGUGAGUAACGCGUGAGAAUCUGUCUUCAGGUCUGGGACAACACGUUGGAAACGACUGGCUAAUACCGGGAUGUGCCGUGAGGUGUAAAGAUAAAUUGCCAGAAGAAGAGCUCGCGUCUGAUUAGCUAGUUGGAGAGGUAAACGGCUCACCAAGGCAUCGAUCA
rnacentral:rRNA from 1 species